CCUACGGGCGGCAGCAGUGGGGAAUAUUGGACAAUGGGGGCAACCCUGAUCCAGCCAUGCCGCGUGUGUGAAGAAGGCCCUCGGGUUGUAAGCACUUUCAGUGAGGAAGAACGCCUGGUGGUUAAUACCCAUCAGGAAAGACAUCACUCACAGAAGAAGCACCGGCUAACUCCGUGCCAGCAGCCGCGGUAAUACGGAGGGUGCGAGCGUUAAUCGGAAUUACUGGGCGUAAAGCGCGCGUAGGUGGCUUGAUAAGCCGGUUGUGAAAGCCCCGGGCUCAACCUGGGAACGGCAUCCGGAACUGUCAAGCUAGAGUGCAGGAGAGGAAGGUAGAAUUCCCGGUGUAGCGGUGAAAUGCGUAGAGAUCGGGAGGAAUACCAGUGGCGAAGGCGGCCUUCUGGACUGACACUGACACUGAGGUGCGAAAGCGUGGGUAGCAAACAGGAUUAGAUACCCUAGUAGUC
rnacentral:rRNA from 1 species